rfam:Dipodomys ordii contig_97427, whole genome shotgun sequence.
GGGAAGGUGGCUCAGUGGUAGAGCGCUUGCCUUGCAUGCAGGAGGCCCUGGGUUCGAUUGCUCACCACCACA